rnacentral:rRNA from 1 species
CGGCCCAGACUCCUACGGGAGGCAGCAGUGGGGAAUUUUGGACAAUGGGCGCAAGCCUGAUCCAGCCAUGCCGCGUGCGGGAAGAAGGCCUUCGGGUUGUAAACCGCUUUUGUCAGGGAAGAAAAGGUUCUGGCUAAUACCUGGGACUCAUGACGGUACCUGAAGAAUAAGCACCGGCUAACUACGUGCCAGCAGCCGCGGUAAUACGUAGGGUGCGAGCGUUAAUCGGAAUUACUGGGCGUAAAGCGCGCGUAGGCGGUUAUUCAAGUCAGAGGUGAAAGCCCGGAGCUCAACUCCGGAACUGCCUUUGAAACUAGAUAGCUAGAAUCUUGGAGAGGCGAGUGGAAUUCCGAGU